rnacentral:lncRNA from 1 species
UUUAAGACAUCGUAUGGCCAUCGCGCCAUCAUCGUAAUCCAUCGUGUAGCCUUCGUAAUCCACCGUGUAGCCUUCGUGAUCCAUCGUGUAGGCUUCGGCUGAGAUAUGAAGCUUAAAUAUCCGUCUUCGGUUAACCUUCGUAUGUCCAUCUUUUGCUAUCGUUUAUGAUUUCGGCACCAUCGUAUGGACUUCGUUAUUCGUCGUACUUGCUUCGGUCACUUUUUGGUAUUUUAACGUUAUCGGGACCAACUUCGUACGAACUUACAAUUUUCGCAUUCGGGUGUCCAUCCUAUAUAAAAAUCGGGACAGUGUGACGCGGGCAUUAGUAUGAUCAUAGACCAAGGUGAGCGACACAGGAUCUUUAGAGCCUCUAGUUUUAUAUUCUUAAAUUUUAGUUUUUAUCAUUGACAUUGUGAUUGAGUAGUUAAUUAACUUAUGAGUUUGUUGCUGAUGUUUACUAAAUAGUAACAUUGAUCAACACAAAAUCCUGGAGCACAUGAGAAACUUGAGUAACUUGAUUAAGUGAUGGUGACUUUAAGACAACCCGACAAGCAUGCGACUUUCAUCUCAUUCCAUAUAGUAUAAUAACUCACAGGAGCGGGAGGGGAGACUGUACACAUGUUUAAUCCUGAUACAUUUUGUAUGUGCCUGUCCGAUUGGUUGUGAGCCUGCAAUUGAGUGGUAGUCAUUUGUUGCAGAUUUCCGUUUAUUUUUUGUGCAUUAAUCAUGAGUUUUCUUGGUUUCUUGUUAUAAUUUGUCACUUAAGGUCCUUUAAUAGUUUACACACAGAAGG